GUAGGGAAUAUUGCACAAUGGGCGAAAGCCUGAUGCAGCAACGCCGCGUGCACGAUGAAGGCCUUCGGGUCGUAAAGUGCUUUUCGGGGAGAUGAGAAAGGACAGUAUCCCCGGAAUAAGUCUCGGCUAACUACGUGCCAGCAGCCGCGGUAACACGUAGGAGGCAAGCGUUAUCCGGAUUUACUGGGCGUAAAGCGCGUGCAGGCGGUUCGGUAAGUUGGAUGUGAAAGCUCCCGGCUCAACUGGGAGAGGUCGUUCAAAACUGCCGGACUUGAGGUCGGUAGAGGAAGGUGGAAUUCCCGGUGUAGUGGUGAAAUGCGUAGAUAUCGGGAGGAACACCAGUGGCGAAAGCGGCCUUCUGGACCGAUCCUGACGCUCAGACGCGAAAGCUAGGGUAGCAAACGGGAUUAGAAACCCUAGUAGUCC
rnacentral:rRNA from 1 species